GUUGUGGAAGACAUAAAAUAAUAUUAAAAGACACGCAUUCAACUUUGUACCGUGCUCUGUCUCCCUCAGUCUCCAUUUGGCUUUCCGUCAUUUUGCUUUCUCUCUUCUUGUUUUCUGUUACCGUCCAAGAACUAGGGUUUUCUAUCUGUCAUCAUUCUCUGUGAGAGAUUCACCAGGUUCGAUUCCGAUUACUUGUUCAGAUCCAUCGAUUAGGAGUUCCAUCGAUUCAGAUCCAUUGAUUUUGUUUUCUCUCUUCAUUUCUCUAUCUUCUCGUUUUCUGUCACCGUCCAAGAUCUAGGGUUUUCUGUCUCUCUUCAUUCUCCUUGAGAGAUUCACCAGGUUCGAUUCCGAUUACUUGUUCAGAUCCAUCGAUUCUUGAAUCGAUUUGGUUGAAACAGGGACCAAGAUCAAGAUCAGUCGAGUCGCAGCAAGAUGAAGAGAGGAGAUAGGUUGAUUCGCGGGAGUAAUAGAGAAAAUGAUGGUGAGGACAGUUCAGGGGAGAGAGUGAAUGAUGAGGAGGACGAUGACGAUUACGAUGGAGUCGCCACCGCAUUGUCAAUCUAGGGUUUGAUUGGAGCUCUAGGGUUUUAGAGCCCCUCGAGACUCGUCAUGGCUACUCCGUUUCACGUGUUGGGAUGUACUUUGUUGGGCAGUAUUACCAGGUACUUCAGCAGCAGCCAGAUUUUGUUCACCAGUUUUGCAAUGAGGCCGGCACUAUGCUUCGUAUUGAUGGGAACUCAAGAGAGACAGCCACGGCAAUGCUAGUAAUGUCUUUUUAAGUUUUCUCUGUAUGUUUGUGAGUGUGUGUAUGUACUUGAAUUUAUGUAUUUGAAUUAUAAUUGAGGGUAGAUUUCCAACAAUCAAAUAUGCAUGUACCUUGUCGAUAUUGGGUGUAAUCUUCAGUGUUAUGUACUUGUCUGAAUAAGACCUGCAGAUGCUUUUGCUGUGAUGAUUUCUCUGUUUUAAUUCUACUUGAAGUUUCUCAGUCAUAAUUUCGUUGUUUUCUCUAAGAGGUAAAUGAGAUAUGGACAGGUUUGGGCUUUUAAGACGGGCAUGAUAUCUACUAGAAGUGAGCUCUUCUUUUGACUCUUGUGCAGAUAGAUAUUUGUAACGCUAUUUGAUAUGAAUCUAUUUCUUAUUGGAUUUCAUUUGGUAUUUAAAAAUGGCAUUCUUAAUGGAUAGGAUGUGCUCUUCAAGUUCAUUGGUUGACAGCGAUACUAACCAAUUUCUUGUUAUCUAAUUGCUUUAAGUUCUUGAUGAGUAUUUGGUUUCACUUUGCUUAUAGUUAUAUUGGCUAAGAACUUUUAGUAGCUUACUUGGUUGUUUUCCAGAACGAUCAUGAUCUAUCCAAGUUAGUGGCAGAGACUCCAUGUGAGCUACUAAGGUAUUUGGUCUUAGUUGUAAUUGACAAUAAUACUUGCAAGGAUGCAACUGUUAUCCAGGUAGGACCUAUGCCUUCGCUCUCCGAUGAUAUGGUUGGCAAGGUUUCUAAAAAUUGAGGUUGAGUAUUUGGUUUUGCUUUGGUUGGUCUAUUUGCUUUGGUUGGUCUAUUUGCUUUUCGACUUUCUCAUUAUAGAUGGCGCAUCUUAUUUAGGUUGAUAGUGUCAACAAGCAUGGGAUUCUCCUGGCAGUUGUCCAAGUUCUUACUAAUUUGAACCUUGUUAUUAGGAAGGCAUAUCUCAUCUAAUGGGGGUUGAUUUAUAGAUGGUAUAGUUUCUUCUUUAACUGUCACAAGCAAAUUCGAAAAAAGAUUUAUGAGCUUCACCUUUUUUGUUUCUUAUAUUGUUUCUUCUUCAAAAUUUGUUGUUUCAAUGUUUAAUGUGGUUGACCAAUGUGGGAAUAAAAUUAGAGAUGAAGGGGUCAUCAAUUACAUCCAGAAGGUAUCUACAGUUUUGUAAUUCUAUUACAAUCAAGCACCUCAAUUUAGAUAAGCAUAAAUAAAGCAAUUCGCCUUGCAAACUGGAGAGGUUAAAGAUUGUCUAUUAGGUGCUUCUGUGUAGUUGAAUAUAACCAACACAGCCUUAUAACUUCCUUUAAUAAGUGAUGAAGAAAACAAUGAAACAGAGCAACCUAGAGGGAUAUUGUUCCAUUAUUUGAUGAUUAAUUUUUCUAGCACAUUUGAAAUCUUUUAGGCUUUUUGGUAAAUUCACCUUGUUGAAGUGCAACUGUCAUGCUGCUAUAUUUCCUGUGGUCAAUGUAAUAAAUUAUCAAAACAAAGGCCCAUUGUGAGGAUUUGGUAAUUUAAACCAAAUCUGGCUAUAAUUAGAUUGUUUUUUGUUAAAUUGAUUCUCUUCUUAAUUUGAGCUAAAAACUACUUUGAUUCCUCUUUUGGUGUUAAUUGCAUGCUGAAUUUGAAGAAAUUGAGUUGGUUUUGCUAUCCACUUCGUGCUCUUUCGAAACAUUCCUUGCAGAAGCUUUGAAUUUCAAUAUAAUUUAUCUCAUUGUAGGUGGUGUAAUUAGAGAAGGAGAAGAAGAUGAGUGAGAGCUAGAGGUUUCAACUUGGGACUGUUGAAUCUUUGACUCUUUCGGUGGCUUCAUCAGUAUCAAUUGUGAUCUGCAAUAAGGCACUUAUCAGCACAUUAAGUUUCAAUUUUGGUGAGUUGCUCACAAUCCCUUCCAGCCUUCUUCCUUCAAUUAAUCUUUCCUAUAAUGAGGACAAAAAUUCAAAAUUUUUGGCUGCUUUGUCUACUCCAAAGGGUAACAGAAACACCUCAACUGAAGCUAAAAAAUUGAACAAUACAUCAAAGGUAUAUCUGUCUCCUUGUUCUUAAUAUGAGAUGAAAGGUGCAAAUUAUUCGUACAUAGUUAAGAAUUUACUGAAACAAAAUAUUUCAAAUUUGAUUGUUUAUCGGAAAAAAAGAGUUUGGAUUUGAAAGUUUAAAAAUUAUUAUCUUCUUUGUCUUUUAGCAAACCAUUUAAUGGAGAAAGAAUUAGAAAUGAUGUUCUUACAUUAAUAUCUUGAAGGGAUCAACAGUUAUAUCCAUCUUUGACAUUCCUGCAUGCUCAUGAUUCUAAUGCAGAUUUGGGUCCCAUUUAAUCCAUGAGGUGCAGAAAUAUUACCCCCAGCCAUUGUUGUUGCAACUUACAGCUGAGUCAGACUUCUAAUUAUCUGUGGACAGUUGCUAAUUAUUAUUUUGUUGUAAUUUUCUUUUCAGUGUAUACUAAGAUAUUGUAUUCUUCUCAUUUGCCUUUAUGUAGCUAUGACUUUGACAAGCUAGCAUCUUCUUGUCACAUUCUGUUCUCUUCAAGAGUGUGGUUUGAGAUUGAA